UGGGGAAUAUUGGACAAUGGGCGCAAGCCUGAUCCAGCCAUGCCGCGUGGAUGAUGAAGGCCUUAGGGUUGUAAAGUCCUUUCGGCGGGGAAGAUAAUGACGGUACCCGCAGAAGAAGCCCCGGCUAACUUCGUGCCAGCAGCCGCGGUAAUACGAAGGGGGCUAGCGUUGCUCGGAAUCACUGGGCGUAAAGCGCACGUAGGCGGCUUUUUAAGUCAGGGGUGAAAUCCUGGAGCUCAACUCCAGAACUGCCUUUGAUACUGAGAAGCUUGAGUCCGGGAGAGGUGAGUGGAACUGCGAGUGUAGAGGUGAAAUUCGUAGAUAUUCGCAAGAACACCAGUGGCGAAGGCGGCUCACUGGCCCCGGUACUGACGCUGAGGUGCGAAAGCGUGGGGAGCAAACAGGAUUAGAUACCCCCGUAGUCCCUGAGCGGGCUGGCAAGGCGCAU
rnacentral:rRNA from 1 species